UAGUACAGUAAUGAGUAAAGGCAUGCGGUUGGGCGUUCACACACACACAUACUGAAAGUUGCGAUCCUUCCUUUGGGUUGGGGGAUAUGAUCUGAUCUGAUCUGAUGUUAACAAUUCCAAUAUUACAUAGAUAGAUUCAUCACAUACACACAAAAUGAUUGGUAAAGCAGUGGUAUCACUCGUCAUCUUUCUCGUUACCGUUUUCAUCACAUACUCAAUGACCACAGGAAGAGGAGGAUCCGGUAGCACGCACUUCUCCUUCUUCUCCCUCCCCAUCCCCAAACCUAAUCAUUCUCCUCCCUUACCCUUGCCUUGUCGCAGUGGAUCUCCGCUUAGAGUUUUCAUGUACGAUUUGCCAAAGAGGUUUAAUGUUGGUAUGCUGCCGCCGUCAAAUGCCACCAAUAAUCUGCCGGAGUGGCCGCACCAUCCGCGGCUGCAACAACAGCACAGUGUGGAGUAUUGGAUGAUGGCCUCCCUUUUGUAUGAAAAUAAUGUUGAUGAUGCUCAGGAGGCGGUUAGGGUAUUAAAUCCUGAGGCUGCGGAUGUCUUUUUUGUCCCCUUUUUUUCUUCUUUGAGCUUUAACACGUAUGGGAACAACAUGACUGACCCCGAUACUGAAUUUGAUCGCCAGUUGCAGGUUGACAUCCUUGAAAUCUUGAGGAAAUCUAAAUAUUGGCAAAGGACUUCUGGAAGAGAUCAUGUGAUUCCCAUGCACCAUCCCAACGCUUUCAGAUUUCUUCGGGAAGAAGUGAAUGCAUCUAUUCUAAUUGUUGCAGAUUUUGCCCGUUUUCCCAGAAGUAUGGCAAGUUUACAAAAAGACGUUGUUGCCCCUUAUAAGCAUGUUGUGGAAUCUUUUAUGGAUGAUGAUUCUUCAAACCCUUACAAGUUGCGUACCACACUUUUGUUCUUCCGAGGAAGAACAGUGAGAAAAUCUGAAGGCAAAGUUCGUCGCAAGCUCGAGAAAUUACUACAAGGUUAUGAAGAUGUUCAUUUUGAAGCAAGUUAUGCUACCGGAGAAGGCAUAAAUGCUUCAACACAGGGCAUGAGGUCAUCAAAAUUCUGUUUACAUCCAGCCGGCGACACUCCUUCCUCCAACCGACUGUUCGAUGCUAUUGUGAGCCACUGUGUACCUGUGAUUAUUAGCGACCAUAUUGAGCUCCCUUUUGAGUCUGAACUAGACUACACCAAGUUUUCGCUCUUCUUUUCUAUAAAUGAUGCAUUGGUUCCAGGCUACAUGGUUGAACACCUAAGGAAGAUACCCGAAAGCGAGUGGCUUAAAAUGUGGGCCCGUCUUAAAGAAAUAACACAUCAUUUUGAAUAUCAGUUCCCGCCAAAAAAAGACGAUGCGGUUAAUAUGUUAUGGAGACAGGUUAGGAAUAAAGUUCCUGGUGAAAGACUUGUUGUAAAUAGAAACCGAAGACUGACGAUCCCUGAUUGGUGGUGAAGAAUCACAAAUGUCAACAUUUUCUUAACAUGUUGUAACAUGAAGUGUCUUUAAUGAGUUUUGACCAAUUGGAUACUCAAAUGCAUGAUGAUUCUUGUCGUUAUAUUGUACUUCUUGGCCUCGUCGGUUUCUUCUGCAGGUAUGUUAUUGGAUCAGGUUUUUCCAAUUAUUUUAUAUUAUUAUCCCAUGAUUAUAUCAUUUUUGUUAAACUGAAGAACCAUCUACUGAAGCAGUUAGGCUUCAGAAUCCUAGUUUCGAAUCUCCACCAACAAAUCUAACCACAGAUUCCACCUCCCAAUCGGUGCUCCUUGAUACCAAAGCCAAUGUUAUUCCGGGCUGGUCGUUUAAUGGUACAGUUUGGUACGUGACAGCAGGUGCUGAAAACAUUUCCUUACCAGGAAACGGUCACGGGUUACAGUUGGGUCCAACCGGUAUGAUUAACCAAACAUUUAAAACUGAUGGAAGCUACUAUUAUGUUCUCACAUUCACGCUUGCUCCAAGCAGCAUCAACUGUGCCAACAACUUAACAGCUGUAAAUGUUUCGGGCCCAGUCGAUCGGAGGUGUUCUUCUUUAAAGAAUCAUAUGGGAACCAACUGUGGCAAACUUAUGGUUAUUCAAUAGGGAGCAAUGAGAUCCGAAGGGGUAUUAUGGGAAUACAAGUUCAAAGUGUCGUGAACGAUAGGCGUGACAAUAUGACUUGUUGGCCGAUUGUGGAUACGUUUUUGGUUAACGGGAUUCAGAAUCCAAGGCUGUAUGAAGAUAAUGGACUUGUGAACAGUGGGUUCGAGGUUGGACCGUCCUUCAUUGAUAACUCCUCACAAGGUAUCCUACUUGAGGCUGAUUCCGACAACGAUCCUUUUAGUUUGGUCCAAUCUCCACUACAAUAUUGGACCAUACUAGGUACAUUAAAAUAUAUCGACUCAAAACACUACGUUGUCCCACGAGGACGUGGGGCGGUUGAGCUACUUUCUGGUGAUCCGUCAGGAAUUGUAGCAAGUGUAUACUUCUUGAAACACGGGCAAGUUACUCUAGAGUUUAUCAUGGGCGAUGCCAAUGACUCGUGUGUGGGAGAUUUUAUGGUUUUUUUUGCAAGUUGGAAAUGCGAUAUGGAAUUUUACAAUGAGGAGCAUUGGUGUUGGAUCAAGAGAGCGACAUUCGGUGACAUUUAAGGCGGAAUUCAGCAACACUGAGUCGGUUCCUAUUAGUUUUUAUAGCUUUAACGAGACUCGAACCAGAAACCACCAAGUGUUAUGUGGACCUGUAAUUCUUCGGUUUUCUAGUGGCUUACGUACAGCAAAACUAUAUAACGGAUUUUUGAUUUUUAACUUCAUUUUAGCAAUUAUAUCUAGCAUAAAUUAGGGUUAUUGAAUUUCAUCUUAAUUUGUCUGUUCAGAUUCAAA